rnacentral:lncRNA from 1 species
UUUAGUUGUUUAUUUAUUUAUUAGUAUAAUGUUUUAAAUUUUAUUUUUAAAAUUAUGCAAGCCUCAUGUUACUAGAAAAUUACAAGACAAACGCUAUCCGGACCCCCCAACCAAAAAGACAACGAGAAGCCCAAGCCAAAGGACCAAAAUCCGGCCCAGCCGAAUUUUGCCUUGUGGCGCCCGCCACAGCGUCUGUAUAAGCUCGGGGAAGACUCCUUUUCUUCACCAUUUUUACACCUUCAAACCUUCAAAACCCAUUUUUUCACCUUGCAAAAAC